GUAACAAGGUCUCCGUUGGUGAACCAGCGGAGGGAUCAUUGCUGGAACGCGCCCCAGGCGCACCCAGAAACCCUUUGUGAACUUAUACCUUUUGUUGCCUCGGCGCUGCUGGUCUCUAGUAGGCCCCUCACUUCGGUGAGGAAAAGGCACGCCGGCGGCCAAAUCAACUCUGUUUUUACACUGAAACUCUGAGAAAAAACACAAAUGAAUCAAAACUUUCAACAACGGAUCUCUUGGUUCUGGCAUCGAUGAAGAACGCAGCGAAAUGCGAUAAGUAAUGUGAAUUGCAGAAUUCAGUGAAUCAUCGAAUCUUUGAACGCACAUUGCGCCCUCUGGUAUUCCGGAGGGCAUGCCUGUUCGAGCGUCAUUUCAACCCUCAAGCAUUGCUUGGGUGUUGGGGCACUGCUUCUAACGAAGCAGGCCCUGAAAUCUAGUGGCGAGCUCGCCAGGACCCCGAGCGCAGUAGUUAAACCCUCGCUCUGGAAGGCCCUGGCGGUGCCCUGCCGUUAAACCCCCAACUUCUGAAAAUUGA
rnacentral:rRNA from 1 species